rnacentral:rRNA from 1 species
UUACGGCCAUAUCACGUUGAAACACCGGUUCUCCUACAAUCACCGAAGUUAAGCAACGUCGAGCCUGGUCAGUACCUAGAUGGGUGACCGCUUGGGAAUACCAGGU